rnacentral:misc_RNA from 1 species
AAGUCGUAACAAGGUUUCCGUAGGUGAACCUGCGGAAGGAUCAUUAACACGUAUCCAACGUUAAAACAACCCCCGUGAACUUUCAGCUUGCUCCAGUCAGGGACCUCUGCCGAUUGUGAUAUUUUAUAGCUACGGUUGAGCGAUUGCAUCUAGUGACCUGAGUGUCUGAAAGUGUCAUUGAUUAUGUAAGGAUGGCGCAGUCGAUCGCUGUAGGCCCACACGGCCGGCGACCGGGUCACCGGGCUCUGCCCCUUUACGACAACACAGUACGAAUUGGCCGCGCGUGAAAUUCGCACGGCACCAAAAACCGAACAACUGUUAACAAUGGAUAUCUUGGUUCUC